ACGGCAGCCCGGAACGCCGGUAACGGAAGUAAAACGGUCAGCUGAUUUCCCGCUGCACGUGACCACGAAGGGAGGCGGCAGUUAAGGACAAUCAGAUACUUAACAAGAAGCCAAGCAGGACAGGAACAUACAGUAGCAAAUCUUUCUGCCUAUGUCCACUAACAACUGAUGCUGUGUAGGACAAUUUGGCCAGGAUUGCCAUGGCAAGAGAAUGGAUAGUAGAAACCAUAUACAUGAAGCUGCUGUAGAAGGAGGCCUUUGUACAGACAUGAAGGCCACAAUGGUAGUGGUUGCCAUGGCAGCAAAUUAUGACCUAAUGCAAAAUGGUCAUUAGGGGGAUGAAGUUGCCAUGGCAGUGGAAUGGUUAGUAGUACUUGACCUUCCACCCAAUCAAUGUCCUCCCCCACACCCCCCAAAUAAAUUUCUGUACUCC